GGUUUUUACCCAGUUAACCAAG
rnacentral:misc_RNA from 1 species